GCAAGUCGAACGGGCUAGUGCUUCGCACUAGUCUCGUUUCUGGGGUUGUUACUCUAAGGCUACCUGCUAAAGUUAUUGCUUUAAAGCAGGGGUUUUAGGAGACUUUCUCCGAAAAGGGGGCCAGUGCGGAGCACUGGCCAGUGGCGAACGGGUGAGUAACACGUGGGUAAUCUACCCUCGAGUGGGGAAUAAGCUUCCGAAAGGGGGUCUAAUGCCGCAUAACGUUUCAUAACGAUGGUUAUGAAACCAAAGCCCAAAAGGCGCUCGAGGAGGAGCCUGCGUCCUAUCAGCUUGUUGGCAGGGUAAUGGCCUACCAAGGCUAUGACCGGGUAGCCGGCCUGAGAGGGUGUCCGGCCACACUGGAACUGAGACACGGUCCAGACUCCUACGGGAGGCAGCAGUGGGGAAUUUUGCGCAAUGGGGGAAACCCUGACGCAGCGACGCCGCGUGGAGGAUGACGGCCUUCGGGUUGUAAACUCCUGUCAGAAGGGACGAAAUCCCGCAAGGGACUGACGGUACCUUCAGAGGAAGCCCCGGCUAACUACGUG
rnacentral:rRNA from 1 species